UCUCUCAAACGCAUCAAUCUUCUCAUUCACGCUUUCAUUCAAGCUUACAAAACCCUAAUUUUGUUCAUCGCCGACAAGCAAAUCUAUCACCAUCUCUUUCGAUUUCAUUAGCAUCUGAUAAGUCAAUGAAUCUACAAGAUCCAUAAGGCUGUGAACAGGUAAGGCAUGCCAGAAAGCUUUACAAGCGGUGAUUUUUACAGUUUUUGAGUAUUUGGAUAACCAGAAAUGAGGCCAUAUUCGUAUCUAAAACCCCUUUGGUUUCAAAGGUUAUCGAGGAAACGAAAGCAAUGUCUUUCCUUUGGGUUACAAAUCGGGCAAAAAGGAUAAAUCGUUUGUUAAAGACCCUGGCAUACGUGGCAUAUUGAAAAUGACGAGAGAGAGGUUUGUUUUUUAGCCCAAUGAUCCAUCAUUGUCUGUUAAGCUUAAUGUGGAGUUUAGAUUAAUAAAAGGCAAG